rnacentral:rRNA from 1 species
CAGCCGCCACGGUAAUACGAAGGGGGCUAGCGUUGUUCGGAAUUACUGGGCGUAAAGCGCACGUAGGCGGAUAUUUAAGUCAGGGGUGAGAUCCCGCAGCUCAACUGCGGAACUGCCUUUGAUACUGGGUAUCUUGAGUAUGGAAGAGGUUAGUGGAAUUGCGAGUGUAGAGGUGAAAUUCGUAGAUAUUCGCAGGAACACCAGUGGCGAAGGCGGCUAACUGGUCCAUAACUGACGCUGAGGUGCGAAAGCGUGGGGAGCAAACAGGAUUAGAUACCCCAGUAGUCCCUGUCUCUUAUAC